CCUUCGCUCGCUGCCAGGAACCCUGUGAUUCAGUUGAAGCUGAGCCCUUUUACCCCCGCUCCAGGGGUGGGAAUGUGACUCAGGCCUGUCCAAAGAAGCCUGCAAGAAGGUCGCUGAAUUUUUUUUUCUUAAACUAGUUUUGUGCUGGGAAUGACCUCCGCGUAAUAGAAUGAGAUGACCGUGGGAAGAGGUUAGGUCUCUGUUAUAACUUCAGAGUUUCCCCUAGCAGGAAGCUCAAUAUGCUUCUUGGGAAUGAGGACAUUGUUUUAUACAUUCAGGAACGUCUCCAUAAAUAUUUGUCGAUUGAUUGAUUAUGUCUACAUCGCCCAUCAAACCAUAUCUACCUAAGUUUUGUCAGGUCCUCUAACAAAUUAAUGAGACCAGAGGAGGGAGUCACUGGAACCUCCAGUGUAUAAGCUGAUUGGUCAGAAGCACAGAUGUUGAAUUCUCUGUUCAAACAACAUCUUGCUGAACAUAAAUAAUGGCAGAGCCACCCUUGAAUCAAGUUCAAAUGGGAAGUCCAGUGAUGUCUUCCAAUCACCUCUACCAGUCUACCAUCUCCAUGCCAGACGAUCUAAUCUACUAGACAUGGGGGGCCGCAGGUCUGGGUGUUUGGGAGGAAGCUUCCAGUUUUGAUCGGGAUGUGUGAUGCAUACCUAAUGGGCUUCCCACCGCCAUCUGGCAAACUGUGCAAGUUCACAGUUCGCACUGCUGCAGCACCACCAGCCAAAUUUAAAGGAAAAGUGGGCUACGGGACAGUUGAAUCUGCAAGAAUGAGUUCUCUUUUAGCUCCAGAAAUUCUUUUCGGUGGGGCAACCGUCUUUAAUAGUUUGCAAGUUUCCGCAGUCUUCAGAGAGGACCUUCUUACCUGCACUGACGAAGGAAAACAUCUUAAUUGACUUGCUUGGAAGUGUUGUUACUGUCAGUCAUUCUUCACCUCAAGAUGGGUCACUACGGUGCUUCCAGUAACGCUGGAGGAAGAAAUGAAGAUGCCAAGGACGCUCACGAUCAUAAUUACUUUCAGGGUAAUUUAUGCUCUUUAUAACGCUUGCAUGAAAUAAUUUUUCCCUUAAGAAAUACUUCCACAUCCUUUUCACGUUAUCCUAUUCCCAGGUCACAACUUAUCUUUGUAUUAUAUUCACUUAUGUAAGUCCAUAAUAUAUCAGUUGUGAUUGUAACUCAAGCAAGCCAACUUGAAUUUGCUUAGACUCCAAGGAGGAGUUGAAAAACUAUUUCAUUGGUUCUAAAAUUUGCCUUACAAUGUUUAAAAAUAUCUCUGAAAUAAGAUGAGUCUAACACUUGAUAGCACAUUAUGGUUUAAUUGCAAGUGUAUUUACAUAAAAUACAUACUAACAAAGUGGUGCAUCUCUUAA